GAGAGAUACAGCAUUAAGGUUAGAGGAAAGUGUUGUUUUUGUUGUUGGGUUUUGUUUCUUGUUUUAAACAAGGGGCCCAUUAUAGUACAUUUGUUUAGUGGAAGGCACCUGCAGACAGGGGAAUUGAACAGAAGCAUGUCUUUGUGAUGGGGAGGGGGAGAUUAUUUACAGAUCAAGAUCCAGUGGUACACGGAUAAGCCAGCAUGAUGAGAACAAUUUGACAGAAAAAAAGGGUGAAUGAAAACAGGUGAAAGAUGAGAGUGAAGCAGAGGAUAGGUUCUUUCUCUGUGAGGCUAAGAAGAAAAGGAGUGAGUAUAAAGGAGAAGAGCUAAAGAAAACAAGGGCUUCAGCAGUCCUGUUUAAGUAACAGAUGGUGUCAUUUGCCAAGACUGAGUUGUUGGCCCAAACUGAGGCCUGAGGAAAAGCAACCAUGUUGAAUACUCCUGUGAGUCAUAGGCGAUGAUGAAAGGAUUGCUGAACACCAGUGAGGUCGGGUGGAGGUUGAAUAGCACAGAUUUGUAGAAGAGCCUGUCAACCCCGGUUUUGUAGUUGCUCCAGCAAUAGCUGGCAGCUCAGGAAAAGAGCAAAAAAAAAAUAAAUAAAUAAAUAAAAAAAAAUGCAGACGGUGAGGCUUUUUCAGGGUGAAGAUUAGCAAGGAGGGCAAAGCUGAGGGUUAGCAGAGCCAGUUCGUAAGAUCCUUGCAGGAGCACCUGGAGUGGCUGCCCAGGGGGCAGAGGCUGGGUAUGAAGGCAGGAGAGGCUGGAGAGGAGUUAAUAAAUUAGGGAACAGAAAGUGCCUGAGGUACUACAGGUCUCAGCUAGGAUGAAGAAUACAGUCCACAGGCACAAGAAAGAAAAUAAGGGAGAAAAAGCACAUCUUGACUGUGGAAAUCAUAUUGAAACACUGAAGUGCUUACUCGUGCUGCUGCUGUCAGUCAUACUCGUCACACUUAGUGACUGUCCUCAAUCCAAGCGGAAAACCCAUUCUCAGUUAACGUGGAUCAGUUGGAAAGAAAAUAAACCACUCUGCUGCUCUGAAGACAUGAAGACAUGUUCACUCUCACACAGGUUAUCUGGAUGCUCAGUGGGAAUGGAGGGCAGCCCAAGAAGGUUCUGAGACCCAUGGAAGUUUGAUUAUAACACCAUAUUGUCAAUGUUCUGUAUUUUGUAUGAAAACAA
rnacentral:lncRNA from 1 species